rnacentral:rRNA from 1 species
GACGAACGCUGGCGGCGUGCUUAACACAUGCAAGUCGAACGGGUCUGCCCUGUUUUUUGCGGGGUGGGUCAGUGGUGAACGGGUGAGUAACACGUGAGUAACCUGCCCCUCACUUCUGGAUAACCGCUUGAAAGGGUGGCUAAUACGGGGUGUUCUGGCUGUGCCGCAUGGUGUGGCUGGGAAAGAUUCACUUUUGUGGUGUUUUGGUGGGGGAUGGGCUCGCGGCCUAUCAGCUUGUUGGUGGGGUGAUGGCCUGCCAAGGCUUUGACGGGUAGCCGGCCUGAGAGGGUGGGCGGUCACACUGGGGCUGAGAUACGGCCAAGACUCCUGGGGGAGGCAGCAGUGGGGGGUAUUGCACAAUGGGCGGAAGGCUGAUGCAGCGACGUCGCGUGAGGGAUGGAGGCCUUCGGGUUGUGAACCUCUUUCGCCGGUGAAGAAGGUCCUGCUCUUUGUGGUGGGGUUGACGGUAGCCGGGUUAUGAAGCGCCGGCUAACUACGUG